GGAGGGGUGGUCGAGUGGUUGAUGGCUCCGGUCUUGAAAACCGGCGAAUCGAAAGAUUCCGUGGGUUCGAAUCCCACCCCUCCG
rnacentral:tRNA from 1 species